AUGAACGCUAGCUACAGGCUUAACACAUGCAAGUCGAGGGGCAGCAUUUUAGUUUGCUUGCAAACUGAAGAUGGCGACCGGCGCACGGGUGAGUAACACGUAUCCAACCUGCCGAUAACUCCGGGAUAGCCUUUCGAAAGAAAGAUUAAUACCGGAUAGCAUACGAAUAUCGCAUGAUAUUUUUAUUAAAGAAUUUCGGUUAUCGAUGGGGAUGCGUUCCAUUAGUUUGUUGGCGGGGUAACGGCCCACCAAGACUACGAUGGAUAGGGGUUCUGAGAGGAAGGUCCCCCACAUUGGAACUGAGACACGGUCCAAACUCCUACGGGAGGCAGCAGUGAGGAAUAUUGGUCAAUGGGCGCGAGCCUGAACCAGCCAAGUAGCGUGAAGGAUGAAGGCUCUAUGGGUCGUAAACUUCUUUUAUAUGGGAAUAAAGUUUUCCACGUGUGGAAUUUUGUAUGUACCAUAUGAAUAAGGAUCGGCUAACUCCGUGCCAGCAGCCGCGGUAAUACGGAGGAUCCGAGCGUUAUCCGGAUUUAUUGGGUUUAAAGGGAGCGUAGGUGGAUUGUUAAGUCAGUUGUGAAAGUUUGCGGCUCAACCGUAAAAUUGCAGUUGAAACUGGCAGUCUUGAGUACAGUAGAGGUGGGCGGAAUUCGUGGUGUAGCGGUGAAAUGCUUAGAUAUCACGAAGAACUCCGAUUGCGAAGGCAGCUCACUAGACUGUCACUGACACUGAUGCUCGAAAGUGUGGGUAUCAAACAGGAUUAGAUACCCUGGUAGUCCACACAGUAAACGAUGAAUACUCGCUGUUUGCGAUAUACAGUAAGCGGCCAAGCGAAAGCAUUAAGUAUUCCACCUGGGGAGUACGCCGGCAACGGUGAAACUCAAAGGAAUUGACGGGGGCCCGCACAAGCGGAGGAACAUGUGGUUUAAUUCGAUGAUACGCGAGGAACCUUACCCGGGCUUAAAUUGCAACAGAAUAUAUUGGAAACAGUAUAGCCGUAAGGCUGUUGUGAAGGUGCUGCAUGGUUGUCGUCAGCUCGUGCCGUGAGGUGUCGGCUUAAGUGCCAUAACGAGCGCAACCCUUAUCUUUAGUUACUAACAGGUCAUGCUGAGGACUCUAGAGAGACUGCCGUCGUAAGAUGUGAGGAAGGUGGGGAUGACGUCAAAUCAGCACGGCCCUUACGUCCGGGGCUACACACGUGUUACAAUGGGGGGUACAGAAGGCGGCUACCUGGUGACAGGAUGCUAAUCCCAAAAACCUCUCUCAGUUCGGAUCGAAGUCUGCAACCCGACUUCGUGAAGCUGGAUUCGCUAGUAAUCGCGCAUCAGCCAUGGCGCGGUGAAUACGUUCCCGGGCCUUGUACACACCGCCCGUCACACCAUGAGAGUGGGUUGCAAAAGAAGUAGGUAGCUUAACCUUCGGGAGGGCGCUUACCACUUUGUGAUUCAUGACUGGGGUG
rnacentral:rRNA from 1 species